GAUGAACGCUAGCUACAGGCUUAACACAUGCAAGUCGAGGGGCAGCAUUUCAGUUUGCUUGCAAACUGGAGAUGGCGACCGGCGCACGGGUGAGUAACACGUAUCCAACCUGCCGAUAACUCGGGGAUAGCCUUUCGAAAGAAAGAUUAAUACCCGAUGGUAUAAUUAGACCGCAUGGUCUUGUUAUUAAAGAAUUUCGGUUAUCGAUGGGGAUGCGUUCCAUUAGGCAGUUGGUGAGGUAACGGCUCACCAAACCUUCGAUGGAUAGGGGUUCUGAGAGGAAGGUCCCCCACAUUGGAACUGAGACACGGUCCAAACUCCUACGGGAGGCAGCAGUGAGGAAUAUUGGUCAAUGGGCGCAGGCCUGAACCAGCCAAGUAGCGUGAAGGAUGACUGCCCUAUGGGUUGUAAACUUCUUUUAUAUGGGAAUAAAGUUUUCCACGUGUGGAAUUUUGUAUGUACCAUAUGAAUAAGGAUCGGCUAACUCCGUGCCAGCAGCCGCGGUAAUACGGAGGAUCCGAGCGUUAUCCGGAUUUAUUGGGUUUAAAGGGAGCGUAGGUGGACAGUUAAGUCAGUUGUGAAAGUUUGCGGCUCAACCGUAAAAUUGCAGUUGAUACUGGCUGUCUUGAGUACAGUAGAGGUGGGCGGAAUUCGUGGUGUAGCGGUGAAAUGCUUAGAUAUCACGAAGAACUCCGAUUGCGAAGGCAGCUCACUGGACUGCAACUGACACUGAUGCUCGAAAGUGUGGGUAUCAAACAGG
rnacentral:rRNA from 1 species